AUUUAUAUAGUUUAAAAUAAAACCUUACAUUUUCAUUGUAAAAUUAAAAUAAAGAUUUUUGUAAAUA
rnacentral:tRNA from 1 species